AGAGUUUGAUCAUGGCUCAGGAUUAACGCUGGCGGCAUGCCUAAUACAUGCAAGUCGAACGAGGGUAGCAAUACCCUAGUGGCGAACGGGUGAGUAACACGUAGGUAACCUGCCUUAGAGACGAGGAUAACUACUGGAAACGGUAGCUAAAACUGGAUAGUAUAUUCGGAGGCAUCUCUGGAUAUUUAAAAGUCCUUAUGGGAAUGCUCUAAGAUGGGCCUGCGGUGCAUUAGCUAGUUGGUGAGGUAACGGCCCACCAAGGCGACGAUGCAUAGCUGAGCUGAGAGGCUAAACAGCCACACUGGGACUGAGACACGGCCCAGACUCCUACGGGAGGCAGCAGUAGGGAAUUUUCGGCAAUGGGCGAAAGCCUGACCGAGCAAUGCCGCGUGAAUGAAGAAAUUCUUCGGAAUGUAAAGUUCUGUUAUUGAGGACGAAUGGUAGUAGUAGGAAAUGACUAUUACUUGACGGUACUUGAUGAGAAAGCCCCGGCUAACUAUGUGCCAGCAGCCGCGGUAAUACAUAGGGGGCGAGCGUUAUCCGGAUUUAUCGGGUUUAAAGGGUGCGUAGGCGGAAUAUUAAGCCUGAGGUAAAAAUUCGGGGCCCAACCCCGUCCCGCCUUGGGAACUGGUAUUCUAGAGUGGUUGAGAAGUAUGCGGAAUGCGUGGUGUAGCGGUGAAAUGCAUAGAUAUCACGCAGAACGCCGAUUGCGAAGGCAGCAUACCGGCAGCCCACUGACGCUGAGGCACGAAAGCGUGGGGAUCAAACAGGAUUAGAUACCCUGGUAGUCCACGCUGUAAACGAUGGAUACUAGGUGUGCGGGGACUGACCCCCUGCGUGCCGCAGUUAACACAAUAAGUAUCCCACCUGGGGAGUACGAUCGCAAGGUUGAAACUCAAAGGAAUUGACGGGGGCCCGCACAAGCGGUGGAUUAUGUGGUUUAAUUCGAAGCAACGCGAAGAACCUUACCAGGGCUUGACAUCCUUCUAACGAGGUAGAGAUACGUCAGGUGCCCUUCGGGGAAAGAAGAGACAGGUGGUGCAUGGUUGUCGUCAGCUCGUGUCGUGAGAUGUUGGGUUAAGUCCCGCAACGAGCGCAACCCCUAUUGUUAGUUGCUACGCAAGAGCACUCUAGCGAGACUGCCGUUGACAAAACGGAGGAAGGUGGGGACGACGUCAAAUCAUCAUGCCCCUUAUGUCCUGGGCUACACACGUAAUACAAUGGCGGUCAACAAAGGGAUGCAAAGCCGCGAGGCAGAGCGAACCCCAAAAAGCCGUCCCAGUUCGGAUCGCAGGCUGCAACCCGCCUGCGUGAAGUCGGAAUCGCUAGUAAUCGUGGGUCAGCAUACCACGGUGAAUACGUUCCCGGGCCUUGUACACACCGCCCGU
rnacentral:rRNA from 1 species